rnacentral:tRNA from 1 species
GGGGUUGUGACUCAGCGGUAGAGUGCUUGCCUGGCAUGUGCAAGGCCCUGAGUUCGAUCCUCAGCACUACA